UACGAAGGGGGCUAGCGUUGUUCGGAAUUACUGGGCGUAAAGCGCGUGUAGGCGGGUUGUUAAGUCCGCUGUGAAAGCCCGGUGCUCAACGCCGGAGGUCGGUGGAUACUGGCAGUCUUGAAGUGGCUAGGGGAAAUGGAAUUACCGGUGUAGCGGUGAAAUGCGUAGAUAUCGGGAGGAACACCAGAGGCGAAGGCGGCUUUCUGGCCUGUAACUGACGCUGAGGCGCGAAGGCUGGGGUAGCGAACAGG
rnacentral:rRNA from 1 species